UACGGAGGAUCCAAGCGUUAUCCGGAUUUACUGGGUUUAAAGGGUGCGUAGGCUGCAAUAUAAGUCAGUGGUGAAAUCCCGUAGCUUAACUACGGAACUGCCGUUGAUACUGUAUAGCUUGAGUUCAAAUGAAGUGGGCGGAAUGUGUCAUGUAGCGGUGAAAUGCUUAGAUAUGCCACAGAACACCGAUAGCGAAGGCAGCUCACUAAUCUGCGACUGACGCUGAAGCACGAAAGCGUGGGUAUCAAACAGG
rnacentral:rRNA from 1 species